rnacentral:rRNA from 1 species
UACGUAGGGGGCAAGCGUUGUCCGGAUUCACUGGGCGUAAAGCGCGUGUAGGCGGCGCUGCAAGUCGGGUGUGAAAGCCCGGGGCUCAACCCCGGGAUGCCGCUCGAUACUGGAGUGCUUGAGGACGGAAGAGGGGAGUGGAAUUCCUGGUGUAGCGGUGAAAUGCGUAGAGAUCAGGAGGAACACCCGUGGCGAAGGCGGCUCCCUGGUCCGUUUCUGACGCUGAGACGCGAAAGCGCGGGGAGCGAACGGG